UACAUUCAUAUCGUACUCGUUGAAAAGGUCAGACGCAGUCUGCGCGUCACUAGCGCAGAGGAAGUAAUUAUUUUUUAUUCUGUGCAUAAAAUAAGUAUUUUAUUUUAAAAAAUAUUUCAAGAGCACACACAACAAGCAGAUACAGAAAAUUCUAUUGAUUUGUACGCUCGUCCAAGAUGGCGGACGACGAGCAAUUCAGUUUGUGCUGGAACAAUUUCAACACAAAUCUGUCCGCUGGUUUUCACGAGUCGUUAUGUCGUGGAGAUCUGGUGGAUGUAUCUUUGGCUGCGGAGGGGCAAAUUGUAAAGGCGCACCGUUUGGUGUUGUCCGUCUGCUCGCCGUUUUUCCGCAAAAUGUUUACGCAAAUGCCACCGAAUGCCCAUGCCUUUGUGUUUUUAAAUAAUGUUAGCCAUUCGGCAUUGAAGGACCUGAUUCAGUUUAUGUAUUGUGGCGAGGUUAACGUUAAACAAGAUGCCCUACCAGCGUUUAUAAGCACAGCGGAGUCCCUGCAAAUCAAAGGGCUGACAGACAAUGAUCCCGCUCCGCAACCUCCACAGGAACCCACACCCCCACCACCAGCCGCACCUCAUGUACAACAACAGCAACAACAAGUCCCAACCCAGCGUGUACAGCGUCAACAGCCGCGUGCAUCAGCACGUUAUAAGAUUGAAACCGUUGACGAUGUUCUGGGCGAUGACAAGGGAACAACUCAAAUUGUCAUCCAGACUACAACCGCACCUCAAGCCACCAUUGUACAACAGCAGCAGCAGCAACAACAACAGCAGCAGACGCAACACAUUCAAACGCAGCAGCAACUGCAAACCGGGACAACAACAACAGCCACGCUGGUGUCGACAAACAAACGGACAGCACAGCGCGGUUCCCUCGUUGGCAGUGGCAAUGUGAAGCGCUCGAAGACAACAACAACCGCCGCAAAUGUUAUUGACCCCUUGGAUACGACACCGGACACCGCGACCACGGCUACUACCGCUCAACAACUGGCUUCCCAACAGAUUACCGUGCAAACGACGGUGGUGCCCAGUGAGACGAAAGUGCAUCAAGUUCGUCAACAACAGGCUGCCGCUCAAGAGGAAGCUGAAUAUAUUGAUCUCCCCAUGGAAUUGCCCACGAAAUCGGAACCGGACUACAGUGAAGAUCAUGCCGAAGUUGCUGGCGAUGGCGAUACGACCUACGUAGAGGAUGAUACCUACGGUGACAUGCGUUACGAUGAUAGCUACUUUACCGAGAACGAAGAUGCUGGCGCACAAACAGCUGGUGGCAACACAAGUGCCGCUAAUGUCUCAGCAACCACAUCGAAGGCCGUCGUCAAGCAGCAGUCGCAGAGCUACAGUGAUUCAUCGUUUGUCGACACCGGCGCGGAUCAAGGCAACACAGAGGCUCAAGAGGGCGAAUUGCUGUUCAUCGAGAGUCCGUGGUCGACACCUUGUCUGGUGCUGAACAACUAUAUGUACAAUUGCCACAGUCGAAAGAACAAUAAGGAGUACUGGCGGUGUCACAAUUAUUCCAAGAAGGUGCACGAACAACGUUGUCGUUCGCGUUGCGUUCUCGAGUUCGGCAAGCUGAAGAAUAUCACCGGAGGUCUGCACAAUCAUGCGCCGCACACGGAAAAGAUUGAGAAGAUAAUUCAGCGCAAUCGUCUGGCGGCAGUCAAUACGGGACGCGGCGGAAAAUUGGCACGAGUGCACAGUAUUACAGAUUUCCAGCAGCAUGAGCCAAAGCAGGAGGUGAUCGAGAUGGUGGAAACAGUGGAGGGACACCAUCAUCAGCAGCAUCAUCAUCAUCAUCAUUUACUGGCCAGUGAAGCGGCCACGUUGCAACUAACGGAGACCGAGCUGAUGCACGCCUCCUUGAUGCUCAUCCAUGAUUAAAACCGUGUGAUCCCAUCUCCCGUGUCUGUCUGUGUUCUGUGCAAUCCGUGCAAUUUAGUUUCUAAGUACAACACACAAGUCGAAUAAAAAAAGCCGAUUCAAAAAGAUGAGCUGAGCAGAUGUAAAUAUUUGAUGCCGUAUCUACUAUGUCUGUAAAUUGCAGCAACACUUAAGAAGUAUAAACUAAAUCUGCUCACCUAUAACUAUCGUGGCCAAUUGGUCCACGAAGAACACGUCUACACCUGCCACUCGAGGCAUGCGGUCAAGUGUAUGGCCUUUUGGCGUUGUGUCUCGUACAAGAAGUUGAAAUGCCC